rnacentral:misc_RNA from 1 species
GAUGAAGAACGCAGCGAAAUGCGAUAAGUAAUGCGAAUUGCAGAAUUUCCGUGAGUCAUCGAAUCUUUGAACACACAUUGCGCCCACUGGUAUUCCGGUGGGCAUGCCUGUUCGAGCGUCAUUAUCCUCCCUCAAACCCCGGGUUUGGUGUUGGACCGAAGUUGUGUGAACAACUGGUCUAAAAAACAAUGACGGCGUCCGUGGGACCCUCGGUGCAACGAGCUUUUAGGAGCACGCGCCGAGUUGCAAGGACCUUCCGGGCCGGUCUCCUUUUACUGUUUUACAAGGUUGACCUCGGAUCAGGUAGGAAUACCCGCUGAACUUAAGCAUAUCAAUAAGCGGAGGA